CGUACGUGAAUAGAGGAUAAAGGUGUAACAGGAAACCAAUAUUUGGCAAUUUGCUCACAGCAGCUAUGUACUCACACAGACAGGGUCUAAAUCGAUUGAGUUUUUGCCCUAUUAGCUUUGGAUGGUAGGAUAUGGGCCUACCAUGGCAUUAACGAGUAACAGGGAAUUAGGGACUGAUUCCGGAGAGGGAGUCUUAGAAACGGCUAAUACUGGACCUGACCACG
rnacentral:ncRNA from 1 species